rnacentral:rRNA from 1 species
UACGUAGGGGGCAAGCGUUGUCCGGAAUCAUUGGGCGUAAAGAGCGCGUAGGCGGCUUGUCACGUCGAUUGUGAAAGCCCGAGGCUUAACCUCGGGUCUGCAGUCGAUACGGGCUAGCUAGAGUGUGGUAGGGGAGAUCGGAAUUCCUGGUGUAGCGGUGAAAUGCGCAGAUAUCAGGAGGAACACCGGUGGCGAAGGCGGAUCUCUGGGCAUUACCUGACGCUGAGGAGCGAAAGUGUGGGGAGCGAACAGG